rnacentral:rRNA from 1 species
GAUGAACGCUGGCGGCGUGCCUAAUACAUGCAAGUAGAACGCUGAAGCUUGGUGCUUGCACCGAGCGGAUGAGUUGCGAACGGGUGAGUAACGCGUAGGUAACCUGCCUCUUAGCGGGGGAUAACUAUUGGAAACGAUAGCUAAUACCGCAUAAAACUCGACAUCCCAUGAUGUUGACUUGAAAGGUGCAAUUGCAUCCCUAAGAGAUGGACCUGCGUUGUAUUUUCUAGCUGGUG